rnacentral:rRNA from 1 species
UACAGAGGUCUCAAGCGUUGUUCGGAAUCACUGGGCGUAAAGGGUGCGUAGGCCGCACGGUAAGUCAGAGGUGAAAUCCCGGAGCUCAACUUCGGAAUUGCCUCCGAUACUGCCGUGCUUGAGGACUGGAGAGGAGAUUGGAAUUCACAGUGGAGCAGUGAAAUGCGUAGAUAUUAUGAGGAACACCAAUUGCGAAGGCAGCUCGCUGGGACGUUACUGACGCUGAGACGCGAAAGCGUGGGGAGCAAACAGG